AAGUUUGUUAGCAGGUGUAUUUCAUUUUGAUCUGCUUGACUGGAUCCAGAUCUUGCUAUAAUGAAGUUAGCGGCGGACGGGUGAGUAACACGUGGGUAACCUGCCCAUAAGACUGGGAUAACUCCGGGAAACCGGGGCUAAUACCGGAUAACAUUUUGAACCGCAUGGUUCGAAAUUGAAAGGCGGCUUCGGCUGUCACUUAUGGAUGGACCCGCGUCGCAUUAGCUAGUUGGUGAGGUAACGGCUCACCAAGGCAACGAUGCGUAGCCGACCUGAGAGGGUGAUCGGCCACACUGGGACUGAGACACGGCCCAGACUCCUACGGGAGGCAGCAGUAGGGAAUCUUCCGCAAUGGACGAAAGUCUGACGGAGCAACGCCGCGUGAGUGAUGAAGGCUUUCGGGUCGUAAAACUCUGUUGUUAGGGAAGAACAAGUGCUAGUUGAAUAAGCUGGCACCUUGACGGUACCUAACCAGAAAGCCACGGCUAACUACGUGCCAGCAGCCGCGGUAAUACGUAGGUGGCAAGCGUUAUCCGGAAUUAUUGGGCGUAAAGCGCGCGCAGGUGGUUUCUUAAGUCUGAUGUGAAAGCCCACGGCUCAACCGUGGAGGGUCAUUGGAAACUGGGAGACUUGAGUGCAGAAGAGGAAAGUGGAAUUCCAUGUGUAGCGGUGAAAUGCGUAGAGAUAUGGAGGAACACCAGUGGCGAAGGCGACUUUUCUGGUCUGUAACUGACACUGAGGCGCUAAUGCGUGGGG
rnacentral:rRNA from 1 species